rnacentral:piRNA from 1 species
UAGAACCAUUAAGGGACCCUUACCAAAUU